UUUACGUCUGUAGUCAACAGGAUGAGAACCUCCGAAGGAGGUUUGAGCCGAGCGAAGCGAGACAACGUUGCGCAGCAACGGCCCGAAGGGGAAUAAUCCUCUCUCGCCGACCA
rfam:Tatumella ptyseos ATCC 33301 GTPT.assembly.015, whole genome shotgun sequence.